rnacentral:rRNA from 1 species
ACUCCUACGGGAGGCAGCAGUGGGGAAUAUUGGACAAUGGGCGCAAGCCUGAUCCAGCCAUGCCGCGUGAGUGAUGAAGGCCCUAGGGUUGUAAAGCUCUUUCACCGGUGAAGAUAAUGACGGUAACCGGAGAAGAAGCCCCGGCUAACUUCGUGCCAGCAGCCGCGGUAAUACGAAGGGGGCUAGCGUUGUUCGGAUUUACUGGGCGUAAAGCGCACGUAGGCGGACUAUUAAGUCAGGGGUGAAAUCCCGGGGCUCAACCCCGGAACUGCCUUUGAUACUGGUAGUCUUGAGUUCGAGAGAGGUGAGUGGAAUUCCGAGUGUAGAGGUGAAAUUCGUAGAUAUUCGGAGGAACACCAGUGGCGAAGGCGGCUCACUGGCUCGAUACUGACGCUGAGGUGCGAAAGCGUGGGGAGCAAACAGGAUUAGAUACCCCGGUAGUCCCAUGAU